GAUGAACGCUGGCGGCGUGCCUAGUACAUGCAAGUCGAGCGAACGGACGAGAAGCUUGCUUCUCUGAUGUUAGCGGCGGACGGGUGAGUAACACGUGGAUAACCUACCUAUAAGACUGGGAUAACUUCGGGAAACCGGAGCUAAUACCGGAUAAUAUUUUGAACCGCAUGGUUCAAAAGUGAAAGACGGUCUUGCUGUCACUUAUAGAUGGAUCCGCGCUGCAUUAGCUAGUUGGUAAGGUAACGGCUUACCAAGGCAACGAUGCAUAGCCGACCUGAGAGGGUGAUCGGCCACACUGGAACUGAGACACGGUCCAGACUCCUACGGGAGGCAGCAGUAGGGAAUCUUCCGCAAUGGGCGAAAGCCUGACGGAGCAACGCCGCGUGAGUGAUGAAGGUCUUCGGAUCGUAAAACUCUGUUAUUAGGGAAGAACAUAUGUGUAAGUAACUGUGCACAUCUUGACGGUACCUAAUCAGAAAGCCACGGCUAACUACGUGCCAGCAGCCGCGGUAAUACGUAGGUGGCAAGCGUUAUCCGGAAUUAUUGGGCGUAAAGCGCGCGUAGGCGGUUUUUUAAGUCUGAUGUGAAAGCCCACGGCUCAACCGUGGAGGGUCAUUGGAAACUGGAAAACUUGAGUGCAGAAGAGGAAAGUGGAAUUCCAUGUGUAGCGGUGAAAUGCGCAGAGAUAUGGAGGAACACCAGUGGCGAAGGCGACUUUCUGGUCUGUAACUGACGCUGAUGUGCGAAAGCGUGGGGAUCAAACAGGAUUAGAUACCCUGGUAGUCCACGCCGUAAACGAUGAGUGCUAAGUGUUAGGGGGUUUCCGCCCCUUAGUGCUGCAGCUAACGCAUUAAGCACUCCGCCUGGGGAGUACGACCGCAAGGUUGAAACUCAAAGGAAUUGACGGGGACCCGCACAAGCGGUGGAGCAUGUGGUUUAAUUCGAAGCAACGCGAAGAACCUUACCAAAUCUUGACAUCCUUUGACAACUCUAGAGAUAGAGCUUUCCCCUUCGGGGGACAAAGUGACAGGUGGUGCAUGGUUGUCGUCAGCUCGUGUCGUGAGAUGUUGGGUUAAGUCCCGCAACGAGCGCAACCCUUAAGCUUAGUUGCCAUCAUUAAGUUGGGCACUCUAAGUUGACUGCCGGUGACAAACCGGAGGAAGGUGGGGAUGACGUCAAAUCAUCAUGCCCCUUAUGAUUUGGGCUACACACGUGCUACAAUGGACAAUACAAAGGGCAGCGAAACCGUGAGGUCAAGCAAAUCCCAUAAAGUUGUUCUCAGUUCGGAUUGUAGUCUGCAACUCGACUACAUGAAGCUGGAAUCGCUAGUAAUCGUAGAUCAGCAUGCUACGGUGAAUACGUUCCCGGGUCU
rnacentral:rRNA from 1 species